AAUCAACGCUGGCGGCGCGCCUAACACAUGCAAGUCGAGCGAGAAAGUGGGGCAACCCAUGAGUAAAGCGGCGUACGGGUGAGUAACACGUGGAUGAUCUACCCUCUAGUGGGGAAUAACCCUGGGAAACCGGGGCUAAUACCGCAUAAGCACGAGAGUGGAAAGCAGCAAUGCGCUGGAGGAGGAGUCCGCGGCCGAUUAGCUAGUUGGCAGGGUAAAAGCCUACCAAGGCGAAGAUCGGUAGCCGGCCUGAGGAGGGCACACGGCCACACUGGCACUGAAACACGGGCCAGACUCCUACGGGGAGGCAGCAGUGGGGAAUCUUGCACAAUGGGGGAAACCCUGAUGCAGCGACGCCGCGUGCAGGCGAU
rnacentral:rRNA from 1 species